rnacentral:rRNA from 1 species
CCUACGGGUGGCAGCAGUGAGGAAUAUUGGUCAAUGGACGCAAGUCUGAACCAGCCAUGCCGCGUGCAGGAAGACGGCUCUAUGAGUUGUAAACUGCUUUUGUACGAGGGUAAACUCAGAUACGCGUAUCUGUCUGAAAUUAUCUUACGAAUAAGGAUCGGCUAACUCCGUGCCAGCAGCCGCGGUAAUACGGAGGAUUCAAGCGUUAUCCGGAUUUAUUGGGUUUAAAGGGUGCGUAGGCGGUCGGAUAAGUUAGAGGUGAAAUCCCGAGGCUCAACUUCGGAAUUGCCUCUGAUACUGUUCGGCGAGAGAGUAGUUGCGGUAGGCGGAAUGUAUGGUGUAGCGGUGAAAUGCUUAGAGAUCAUACAGAACACCGAGUGCGAAGGCAGCUUACCAAGCUACUUCUGACGUUGAGGCACGAAAGCGUGGGGAGCAAACAGGAUUAGAUACCCUGGUAGUC